AUCUUUCUAGUAUAAAUAUUAUACUUGACUUCCAAUCAAGAGAUCCUGUUAGGGAAAGAUA
rnacentral:tRNA from 1 species